CUAGUUAGUCCAACAUAUCAAAGAUGCAAGUUCUUCCAAGUUGUAGGCAUAUUUAAAAUGGUGGUUCUUCCCCUCUUGGGUCAGCUAGCAGAUGAAUAUGGGCGUAAACCACUGCUUCUGAUUACUGUUUCUACAUCCAUAGUGCCAUUUGCCAUACUUGCUUGGGAUGAUUCCAGGGCAGCUGUUUACUGGUACUUUGUACUUCGCA